rnacentral:misc_RNA from 1 species
AGAAAAGCUGGUUACAUUGUUAUCUUGCUGAGAACACCCAUGCCUAAACUGAAGUGGAAUCAAUCAAACAUCCAAAUGCAUGAACUCAUAAAUAUUUGGUUGAUAGAUAGUGAAACUCAGCUCAUGGCAUAGUCCCAGCAACAAAAGUAGAUAAGUGGUGCAGUGUCACCACAAAUUAAACUUGGAUCUCGACCUCCUAACGGACUACAUGAGAGAGGAGAAGGGAAAAAACAACUGUAAAUCACUAAGUUCCAAGAGAAAACUCAGAAUUACACCACUUUCCCAAGCUUCCCAUUCUACUAACUGAAGCAUGAUAUUUCACAGAUCUGAGUGGCCGCUUGUUAUUUUGCCAGAAAACAACUUGCUUCGUCAUGAACAAGCUACAACAAUGGCUUUCAGAUAACAAAUACUCCUGCAGGUGAUUUUCCAUCUCCGUUAUGAGCAUCUCCACCAGAAGUCGAUGUGGUGGUUUGAACGUCUCCAUAAAUGGCUUUAAUCUUAGAGAGUGGAAUAAGUGGAUUGGGUAACUCAGCUUCAGCAAAAAGCUGCUGCUUCCAAUCCCACAUAUCCUUCUUCAUAGCUUUAUUAGAUUUGAGCAAAGAGUCCUUUUCUGCUUCAAGAACUUCCAUAUUCUUCUGUUGCUGCACUGAUCUCAUACAUAGCAAUCCAAAUGCACUCAUUAACACUACAUUCAACACUUUGUUGCUGUUCAGCGCUUUGCUUACUGCGUCUCCGACUUUGCUUGCCA